rnacentral:rRNA from 1 species
UACGUAGGGUGCGAGCGUUGUCCGGAAUUAUUGGGCGUAAAGAGCUCGUAGGCGGUCUGUCGCGUCGGUCGUGAAAACUUGGGGGCUUAACCCUGAGCUUGCGGUCGAUACGGGCAUGACUGGAGUUCGGCAGGGGAGAACUGGAAUUCCUGGUGUAGCGGUGAAAUGCGCAGAUAUCAGGAGGAACACCGGUGGCGAAGGCGGGUCUCUGGGCCUUGCCUGACGCUGAGGCGCGAAAGCUAGGGUAGCAAACGGG